rnacentral:rRNA from 1 species
GGACCUGACUGCUAUCGGAUUGAUACUAAGCCAUGCGAGUCUUUGUAGUAAUACAAGGCAGACGGCUCAGUAACACGUAGUCAACCUACCCUAUGGACGAGAAUAAUCUCGGGAAACUGAGCAUAAUUCUUGAUAGAUCAUAAUGCCUGGAAUGGUUUAUGGUUAAAAUGAUUCGUCGCCAUAGGAUGGGACUGCGACCUAUCAGCUUGUUGGUGAGGUAAUGGCCCACCAAGGCGAUUACAGGUACGGGCUCUGAGAGGAGAAGCCCGGAGAUGGGUACUGAGACACGGACCCAGGCCCUAUGGGGCGCAGCAGGCGAGAAAACUUUGCAAUGUGCGAAAGCACGACAAGGUUAAUCCGAGUGAUUUCUGCUAAAGAAAUCUUUUGCCAGUCAUAAAACCACUGGUGAAUAAGGGGUGGGCAAGUUCUGGUGU